UCUCAUUUUAUACGAGUUUUACUACAUGUACUCCUAAUUUUAUUUCCUCACUUUUACUCCAUGACAUGACAAACAAAGAUUGGUUAUUUUC